AGGGAUUGGCCGGGUCUGGGUGAAGGGGAUCACGGCCUGGGGAUUGGAGGGGCACAUCUUCUCCGCACCGAGGAUCUCAGCGACUGCGAGCACGGCUCGGAGACCCACGGUGGUGCAGCGUUGGGGCGCCAGGGCUGCGUUCCCGUCUCGCGUCCCGGACUGAGAAGGUGGGAACCCCCUUCCAGGCCCCCCACCUUUUAUUUCUCUCCUCCCCUGCUUAGCCCAGAGACGAGCUGAGGACGAGGGGGAGCCAUCUCCAAACAGGAACUCCUAAACAGGGUGGGGGGCGCGGACGCAGGCCAGUGGAGACCCCCGCCACCUGUCCCACCUCGACCAACCGUGCGCCUGUGCAGGGCACCCCUACAGGUUUUAGAAUGGGGGCACCUAUGGAAUAUGGCAGGCUGCGAGAAGCUGGGCCCGCCAAGGUGGUCCCAAGGAGGAGUGGGGGGUUGCGGAAAGGAGGAUGAGAGCCAGCCACAAGGCUGGAAAAGGAGUGGGCACCGCAGAGGAGGGAAAAAGAAUCUUGACACUGUCACCGCCAGGGAUCUAGGGGGGCCUCUUACCUUGGAGAAUAACAAUCUCUGAUGUCUGCUAAUUACAGAAAUACUUUCAGAGCUCUUUCAUUCAUCCUGACAAUGGCCAGAGAAGGUAGGUAUUGGUAGCCUUAUUUUAGAGAUGGGGAAACUGAGGCUGAGAGUAGGUAAGUAAGCUGUCCAAGGGCACUCAGCUAACAAAGGACAGAAGCAAGCCUCCUCACUGUCUACCUCCAAAACCUACACUGGCUUGGAGUUGCUGUCCUGGCCCUCCACUGCCCAUCUCAUGUAGGACGGGAGAGUAUGGGGGGCUGGGGUCCCAUCUAUAGCCUGAAUUUGAGACUUUCAGUUGCUCCUCUCAUUCCCCAUUUAAUUUGUGGGGAUCCCCAACUGACCCCUCCCUACACUUCCAGGGCACUGAGGAGGGAGGGCCCGCUGAAGGAGCCCCGAAUUAUCUCUAGGCCAGGUCAGGAGCCAUUAGUGUCCCCUCCCCUGACAGCAUCCUCCUCCUUCUGCCCUCACAUUCAGAGCCACUGACAAGACUUUAAGCAAGAGACGGAGAGUUAACAUCUAAUCUGGAGGAAGACCCUGGAAGGAGCCAGCCCCUUCCCCCAGGCUGACCUGGUUUAAGCCUUUCUUCUGCCAAGGUCACCAGCACCCCAGAUGGGUGAGAGAUGUGAUCACUGGUUUCGUGGCCUGACCAAGGACCUCCAAGGCCUCAUGUGGAAUGCAGCCUCUGAGAAAAGCACUUCUCACCACUCAAAACCCACCGAAGCAUGCCCAGCCCUGAGAGGGGCUUCUAGGAAUGCAAAACGAGCUGUCUCUGCAGCCACGAGCAGAGCUAACUGCAUAAUAAGCACACUGGAGGGGAUUCACAGGCUUUGAGGAUUGUUUUGAAGGAAGAGAAAUAGGUCCUACUUCUGUGGGAGACUGAUUAUUCCUUUAACUCCAAUCAGAGCUGAUAGUUUGAAGGGUAGUGAAUGACGCUGGCGGUGGUUGAAGCUGCAAGAAGCCCAUCUGGUUACCGCAUCAUCGCACACCUGCCUGCACAGCAGAUUUCUCACCCUGACUGAUAUGCAUUCAAGCAAGUUCUCUACUAGGCCACACUGAUGAAGGCAGAGGUGUUACUGUACUGAAUGGUAAUAAAA
rnacentral:lncRNA from 10 species